rnacentral:rRNA from 1 species
CCUACGGGUGGCAGCAGUGGGGAAUAGUGGGCAAUGGGCGCAAGCCUGACCCAGCAACGCCGCGUGAAGGAAGAAGGCUUUCGGGGUGUAAACUUGUUUGAAGAGGGAAGAGCAGAAGACGGUAGCUCUUGAAUAAGCCACGGCUGACGACGUGCGAGCAGCCGCGGUAAUACGUAGGUGGCAAGCGUUGUCCGGAUUUACUGGGUGUAAAGGGCGUGCAGCCGGGAAGACAAGUCAGAUGUGAAAUCCCGCGGCUCAACCGCGGAACUGCCUUUGAAACUGUUUUUCUUGAGUACCGGAGAGGUCAUCUGAAUUCCUUGUGUAGCGGUGAAAUGCGUAGAUAUAAGGAAGAACACCAGUGGCGAAGGCGGAUGACUGGACGGCAACUGACGGUGAGGCGCGAAAGCGUGGGGAGCAAACAGGAUUAGAUACCCUUGUAGUC